UUCGGACUGUCGUUCUUUCAUUUCUGGUUCAGCUCGGCUGGAAGUAACUUCUUCCUCUGAUUGGUAACAAAACAACUACUCAUCGAGGCAGUUUUGCUAUCACAAAGUUAGUGUUUGAAGAUAAUGAGAGCUAAGUGGCGUAAAAAGAGGAUGCGCAGGCUCAAACGCAAACGUAGGAAGAUGCGUGCUCGUUCCAAGUAAAUAAACGAUUGCAAUCAUUUAACAUUUAUGUAUUUUUUUAAAGUUACUUAUUGUCAUAAUAAUGAGCUUAUCAUAAUAAUGGGCGAAAUGAAAUAUUUUGGAUAAUCAAUCGACAUCCAUUAUAAUUACAUAACAA